rnacentral:rRNA from 1 species
AACGAACGCUGGCGGCAGGCUUAACACAUGCAAGUCGAGCGAAGACUUCGGUCUUAGCGGCGGACGGGUUAGUAACGCGUGGGAACGUGCCCUUCUCUACGGAAUAGCCCAGGGAAACUUGGAGUAAUACCGUAUACGCCCUUCGGGGGAAAGAUUUAUCGGAGAAGGAUCGGCCCGCGUUGGAUUAGGUAGUUGGUGGGGUAAUGGCCUACCAAGCCGACGAUCCAUAGCUGGUUUGAGAGGAUGAUCAGCAACACUGGGACUGAGACACGGCCCAG